rfam:Oryza barthii chromosome 6, whole genome shotgun sequence.
AAUAAGUGCAGUUUUGCACUAUUCACCUCUAACGUUUGACCAUUCGUUUUAUUUGAAAAUUUUUUAUGAUUACUAUUUUUAUUGUUAUUAGAUGAUAAAACAUGAAUAGCACUUUAUGUGUGACUACUUUUAAAAAAAAUUUCAUAAAUUUUUUAAAUAAAACGGACGGUCAUACGUUAGACACGGAUUUUCACGGCUGCACUUGUU